CACAUGGGAAUUCAAGAUGAGACUGGGGUGGGGACACAGCCAAACCAUAUCAGUAGGUAAAGAAGAAAAGAGGACUGAGCCCUGAUGGCAUUAGGAGGUCAAGAUGAUGACAAGGGUCCUGCAGAAAGAUCUGAAUAAAGGAGAUCUUAGGGGUUUUACCCAAACAUCAGGUAUUAAUAAUUCUCAACUGGCUGUUAAGAAAGAGGCAUUAGAGAGUGAUGUGGAAGCUCCAUGUGCAUGGCUGGGGCUUACGAUUGGUCAGGAGGCAGCUUUUUUCUGGAGAACCCCCAAAGUAUCUGUAGGUAAUCUUCCUGGUACCACUCGGUUUCUCUAGAGACAACUCUUUAAACCUCCUUCAGCAGUUGAAGGAAAGAGGGUUGGAGAUAGGAUAAUAGGCCUGACUUUUGAGAGUGCAAUAGGUAAAGACAGGAAGGUUUUUCGACUGUGCAGUGUGCAGCAUGCAGAUUCUGACUGUUUUCAGGACAGAAUUUUACCCCCACCCUCUAUUGUUCCUGAAGUCCCCAAUAGCCUCUGGUUCUGUUUCUCCAGGCAAUAAGCCUCCCACCUCCUGUGAUGGGGAGCAGGGUGGGGCUCAGGAGUGGGAAGCAUAGGUGGAGGGCAGCUAAGCCCUCCUUAUUCAGUCUUUCAACCACUCUUAUGUUCCAGCCUUUGGCCUCUAAGGUACGUGGGAUGCCCAAUUCCUGAGCUUCUUUUGAUUCUGGGGUAAGGAUGGUCUCAGUCUUCAUGGCUUCUUCCUUCAGCAGGCACGUAGGUUUCGGCUUUCUGCACUCUACCAGUCCAGCCACUGUUCCUCCAUAUGCUGUCUUUCCUGCACAAAUUUGCUAAUGUCUCUCUUCCACUCUUGAGAGCUUGUUUGGAGGUUCUAGCAGGAGGGCGUAGCUACUCAUAUACCCUUGACUGAAAACUGGUCCUCCUGUAUCGAGGAUGGCCGUCCUCUUUGACUGAGCAUGCAGCUUUGGGAGGGACACACAUGGAGUUGGGAGGGAGGAAGGGAACACCCACCUAGCCAGCCAGAUCAGCUGAAUCAACCUGGCAAUUGAUGGGGUGACCGAUGUUGCAGCCAGAUCACCUUCACUUCCUCUCUCUUAUUCUUGUGAUCUGCUCUCAUUCUCUUUGUUCUUGAUUACUUAUAUCUAUUUUUUUUUUCUUUUACCAGCAUUUUAGUGAAGCUGCAGAAGUGAGGAGAAAUGAAUAUGGGUUCUAUCUGCCAUGUUUAGCAGGAAGUCAUCACCACAUGUUUUUGACAUCCUGUGCACACCCAUUUUCCCUUGUCAACAAAAAGAGUCAAACGCUAUAAAAUACUUAAAGAGAUUUA